rnacentral:rRNA from 1 species
GAUGAACGCUGUCUACAGGCUUAACACAUGCAAGUCGAGGGGAAACGACGGGGAAGCUUGCUUCCCCGGGCGUCGACCGGCGCACGGGUGAGUAACGCGUAUCCAACCUGCCUCUGACUGAGGGAUAACCCGUCGAAAGUCGGCCUAAUACCUCAUGGCAUCGUCUGCGGGCAUCCAACGACGAUUAAAGAUUUCAUCGGUCAGGGAUGGGGAUGCGUCUGAUUAGCUUGUUGGCGGGGUAACGGCCCACCAAGGCUACGAUCAGUAGGGGUUCUGAGAGGAAGGUCCCCCACAUUGGAACUGAGACACGGUCCAAACUCCUACGGGAGGCAGCAGUGAGGAAUACUGGGCAAUGGGCGGGAGCCUGAACCAGCCAAGUAGCGUGCAGGAGGACGGCCCUAUGGGUUGUAAACUGCUUUUAUGCGGGGAGAAAGUGAGGGACGUGUCCUUCAUUGCAGGUACCGCAUGAAUAAGGACCGGCUAAUUCCGUG